UACGAGGGGGGCGAGCGUUGUUCGGAAUUAUUGGGCGUAAAGGGUGCGUAGGCGGUUUGGUAAGGCUCUUGUGAAAUCUAUGGGCUCAACUCAUAGUCUGCAAGGGAAACUGCCGGGCUUGAGUGUGGGAGAGGUGAGUGGAAUUUCCGGUGUAGCGGUGAAAUGCGUAGAUAUCGGAAGGAACACCUGUGGCGAAAGCGGCUCACUGGACCACAACUGACGCUGAUGCACGAAAGCUAGGGGAGCAAACAGG
rnacentral:rRNA from 1 species